CCCUGAUGCUUUGCCAGACUUAUAGGUGAUGUAUUGCACAAAAGAGUUCCUGGAGCCCCCAUGUGCCGUUUUAAAGUUCCAGGAGCCUGUUUCCCUUCUGUGCCGCUCAGGUUAAUGCUUUUGCAUUAGCACAAGCAGUGAUUGGCUGCAAGUGUCAGCUGAUCACCCUCAACCUAUCAUAGCCGCCCAUCGCUGGUAUGAAUUGUAAUGGCUAAG